GUCCCUGCCCGCCAGCCUGCUCGCCAGCCUCAGCCCGCCCCCCUCACCACGCACCCUGCAAGCUGUACCUGCAGCUGGUCUCAUGACACGUGGAUCCCGUGCCCACACACCCUGCUCGGCUGAGGCACUAACGGAGCCAGCGCCCACGCCCGCUCUCUGCCUCUGCGCCCCCUGCUCGCACUCCCACCGCCCACCGCCCACCCGCGGGUGCCAGGCCACGUCCUCCCGCCCGCCCAGCGCCGCUGCUCCCUGCCCUCUCCCUCGGCUGGAGGAGCCCGCAGGGCCCUGCCCCUGGCCGCUGUCUGCCCUCGCUGUGUGUCUGGCCUUCACCCUGCCCGGGCUCCCGAGGGCAGGGCUGUGCUGGCCCCUUCGGGCUCGGGGGCCGGCGCGGCCGGAAUGCUGAGGGCAGCCCCCGGGGGCACCUCGGGGGCACUUCCCCCCCCGGGGACGGGGAGCCAGCUCUGCCCUUCCCAAGGGGCCGCGGGGUGCGGGUCCUCCUGCGGAUGUGCGGCCCACCCUACUGGCGCCUGACCAGCUGGCCUUGGAAUGCUGCUGCAACCUGGGCCCGCCCGCUGCCUGCUGGGCCAGGGGUGCCUCUACCCCUUCCGCUUCCAGAGGCCCUGGGGCUAUUUUUAACUCGCUGAGCCGCCUCUGCGAGGGUGGACCGAGCCCCCUGUCGGGUAGUGGGGGGGCAGGAGGGAGCCCAACAGCUGCCUUCCUGCCCCCCGCCCUCCCCAGGUCCACAGACACGGUGUCCACGGGGCCGCAUUCAGACACAGGCCGGGACGCCGCUUCACACGCAGGAGCACAUCGUGUACACACACGCAGGGCUCAGGGACCUGCUCACAAAUGUACGGGACAAGACGCCCAGGGACCCAGGGCGCAUGUGGGCACGAUUCCCCCGAACUCUCCCCAGAAACCCAACCCACCUGGAGACGCACACAAAGGCCAGGGGACCCGAGCACAGGUGCCCAGCGACCACCAGCCGGGGGUGCAGGGAG
rnacentral:lncRNA from 1 species